GACAGAGGGUGCAAACGUUGCUCGGAAUUACUGGGCGUAAAGGGUUCGUAGGUGGCCAACUAAGUCAGACGUGAAAUCCCUCAGCUUAACUGGGGAACUGCGUCUGAUACUGGUUGGCUUGAGUGCAGGAGAGGAAUGCGGAAUUCCAGGUGUAGCGGUGAAAUGCGUAGAUAUCUGGAGGAACACCGGUGGCGAAGGCGGCAUUCUGGACUGCAACUGACACUGAUGAACGAAAGCCAGGGGAGCAAACGGG
rnacentral:rRNA from 1 species